rnacentral:rRNA from 1 species
UACGGGGGGGGCAAGCGUUGUUCGGAUUUACCGGGCGUAAAGCGCAUGUAGGCGGCUUUAUAAGCUACUUGUGAAAUCUAUGGGCUUAACCCAUAACGGUCAAGUGAUACUGUAGAGCUAGAGUGCGGAAGGGGCAACUGGAAUUCUUGGUGUAGCGGUGAAAUGCGUAGAUAUCAAGAGGAACACCUGAGGCGAAGGCGGGUUGCUGGGCCGACACUGACGCUGAGAUGCGAAAGCUAGGGGAGCAAACAGG